rnacentral:tmRNA from 1 species
GGGAGUGCUGGGCUUUGACAGGACAACGUUUCGUACACUGCAGGUCGGGUCGUGAGCCCCCGUAAAAACCUCACAAACCAAUAACUGCAAACCAAAAAACUGCAGCGCCGGCAUUUGCCUUUGCGUAAACGCGGGCGUCUCUGGCCUUUCCACAAGAAAAGCCGGGCAUCGGUUCUUGAUGUCUCAUAAAGAAAAACCGGUGUUAUAUAAUGAGGCUCGUCUUCUAAGAAUGGCGCUUCAACAUUCUUGAAAGACUAAAACCCAUUUGAAGCAAGCUGGUUUUGAGCAAGUUCCAAGAGCAAUCAAGGAACGAAUCGAAAACAAACCCGUAGACUGUGUACGAAAAUUGCCCUGAACGCGAGUUCAACUCUCGCCACUUCCACCA